rnacentral:lncRNA from 1 species
UGUGGGCUUCCAUGGCGAUUUGGUUCACACCCACUGUUUUCUUCGGCAUCGUCAACCUCAUCAUCGGCACUAUCUUCAUACUUCAAACCUCAUAACCCACAAAAAUCACCAUCAAAAUACAGCAGGUGAGCACGACCCGACCCGACAGGUCGGGUCCUGCCUUUUUUAGACCGGGUCAAGCACUUCAAUUUCUCUCAAAACUCACGAUAAUCACCUACAACUACAAGAGGGUGAUCACAACCCGACCCGAAUUCUUCGAUCCACAUCUUUAUUGGAUCGGGUCAAGUCCUUCGAUUUCUCUCUCAAAACUCACGAUAAUCACCAACUACAAAUACAAGAGGGUGAACACAAUCCGACCCGAGUCGUUCGAAGUCCAUCCUUUUUGGAUCAAGUCAAGUCCUUAGAUUUCUCUCCUAAAACCCACCCUAAAAAACUACCGCACGAGGGUGAACAAGAUCUGACCCAAUGGUUCGGACCCAAACUCUCUUGGACCGGAUCAAAUCCUUAGAUUUCUCUCCCAGAACACCCAAAAAUGAUCACCUCCAACAAGCAGAUGGUGAAAACAGUCCGACCCGACUUGAUGAUGCAGAUAGCAAGGUUGAAGAUUACUUGGAGACCCGGGGCCGUCGUUAUGCCCGUGUGGCCAAUAAACUUUCUCAAUUAUUUGACCGCGUCUGUGUCGAGGAAGGGUUGAACGGUUAUGUAAUUCACAUGAGUUUGUGACAUGUAGUAUUUAAUGUAAUUCGGGGAUUGGACAAAUCAAUCACAAGCAUAUGAAAUAGAUUCAAGGAUAUUCAUACAAGCCUAUGCUAAGGGUGUCUUGUAUGUUGUAUUAUCAAAGGUGAAAAAAGAUCCUAAAGGAUCGUCAAGACAAAAGAAGUGUACUGGAAGAUACUGAGAAUCCAAAAGUGUUGGGCAAACCUCGUUGGACUGUCGUUGGAUCCUCGCGGGAGGGAUGUAGUUCGAAAGACUGUCACGGGAUCAAUUAAAGGACUCAUCAGAGAAGCCGAGAGUUUGCAUUUGGUCACAAGCUAUUCGCGGGAUCCUCGCUGGACCGUCACGGAAGCGAUGUAUCUCGUUGAACUGUCGCGGGAGUUGGAUGAGACUUCAUAGAGAGAAGUCGAGAGCUUGUAUGUUGCCAACGAGAAUUCACGGGAUCAUCGCUGGAUAGUCACGGGAGCGACAGAUGUCGCGGGAUCCUUGCGGGAGAGACCUGCGCAAAACUGCAGUGCCGUGAUCUGCGAUUUUUAGGUUUUCCAACCACUAUAAAAAAGGGUAAGACACUUCGAAAUAAGGCGUCUGAGCUGCCGUCAUUUAUAUACCCUAGAGAGUAGAAGUCUUCUCUAUCGACCAAAGAGUUCAGAAAAGAUUCUUUGCACAAAACUUCACCAACCAAAUUGAAAAAAAUCAAAAUCUUUGAAGGAGUUCAAGGUGUGAAAUCUGUUUUAAAGGGAUCUGAAUGGUAAUCAAGCACGGAGACGGUGAAUCGUGGACAUGAACUAGAUCUUCUCAAUCAUUAGAUCAAGGAGUUGAUAGAUUUUGAUUGCAAGAGUCUUAUAACCGUCUGGAACUUUUGUGAUAGUGCAUGAUUUUUGUCCGAAGAAGUGGACAUGUGAUUUUUCUCCCAUUCAAGGGUUUUCAUAGUAAAAAUUUCGUGUGCAACUUCAUUGAUUGGUUUGCUUAUUUUUAUAUUUGAAUUCUACAAUAUUGCUCAAAGCUGUGUUAAUAUAUUUAAUAUUGUAGUCAUUUAAUCUCUUGAUAAAAACAUAGACUAAGACUAUUUUUUUUCAAUUGGGACAUUCAAAUUUUUUUUAAAUUGUGAAAGAGUGAGAUCCUAAUACUAAUAGUGUAAAUCUGUGGAUUUACCUAGGGAAGGAAGUUCUACAACUCGACCUCCUCUACUUGAUGGUACAAAUUAUCCUUAUUGAAAAGCUAAAAUAAGAAUGGUGAAUCGUGGACAUGAACUAGAUCUUCUCAAUCAUUAGAUCAAGGAGUUGAUAUAUUUUGAUUAUAAGAGUCUUGUAAUCAUCUGAAACUUUUGUGAUAGUGCAUGAUCUUUGGUCAGAGAAGUGAACACGUGGUUUUUCUCUCAUUCAAGGGUUUUCACUGUAAAAAUUUCGUGUGCAAUUUCAUUGAAUGGGUUUCUUAUUUUUAUAUUUGGAUUCUACAAUAUUGCUCAAAACUGUGUUAAUAUAUUUAAUAUUGUAGUCAUUUAAUCUCUUGAUAAAAAUAUAGAUCAAGACUAUUUUUUUUAAGGGUAAAGCCGGGAGGGAGGGAGAGAGAGAGUAGUCUGGGGUCACCAGAGAGGACCCUCGCCGGAGAGUUAAUGCCUGAGAUGGGUUCUUCUUUGUUAACAAUGAUAAUAGAGGUAAAGAAAAAGAUUGAUAAUGUAUAUGAAGAUAGGGGAGGGAGAGAUUAUUGUAAUUUCAGCUCUUGAUUUCAAGGGUUAGAAUAAAGUGUCUAAACUUGUGUCAAAACUUGUAUCUCCGAAUCCAGCCAU